AUUGAACGCUGGCGGCAUGCCUCACACAUGCAAGUCGAACGGUAACAGGUCUUCGGAUGCUGACGAGUGGCGAACGGGUGAGUAAUACAUCGGAACGUGCCCGAUCGUGGGGGAUAACGAAGCGAAAGCUUUGCUAAUACCGCAUAAGAUCUACGGAUGAAAGCAGUGGACCGCAAGGCCUUGCGCGAACGGAGCGGCCGAUGGCAGAUGAGGUAGUUGGUGGGAUAAAAGCUUACCAAGCCGACGAGCUGUAGCUGGUCUGAGAGGACGACCAGCCACACUGGGACUGAGACACGGCCCAGACUCCUACGGGAGGCAGCAGUGGGGAAUUUUGGACAAUGGGCGAAAGCCUGAUCCAGCCAUGCCGCGUGCAGGAUGAAGGCCUUCGGGUUGUAAACUGCUUUUGUACGGAACGAAAAGACUCUUUCUAAUAAAGAGGGUCCAUGACGGUACCGUAAGAAUAAGCACCGGCUAACUACGUGCCAGCCGCCGCGGUAAGAC
rnacentral:rRNA from 1 species